UCGGGUGUGGUGUAUGGUGCACAACAGCAUUUAGUAAUAGUUCCAACUCGGUAUGUUGCAGGUCGGGGUUCGACUCCCUGCAUCCGAA